GCCGGAAUGGCCGAGUGGUUUAAGGCGCACGCCUGGAAAGCGUGUUCCCUCUGGGAUCCAGGGUUCAAAUCCCUGUUCCGGCG
rnacentral:tRNA from 1 species